AUCAGCCUUUCGUGUGCGAUUCUGUGGAGUUUGAGGAGCUUAACACCUUCAUGCUUUGCAUAUUCGUGCUCUUGGGUGUACUUGCCCGUGUGGUUGGUUAACAUCAAUUUCGGGCACCAUAAAAUGACUGGAGGAAUGUAGCUUCGAUCUUGUAUUGAAGUGUUAUAGCCUUCGGUAGAUGUGGUGAUCGAGAUUGAGGAUUGCAACGGAUACCUUUCGGGGCUACCUGUCUGAUCUCUGAUCGUUGCUUUGGUGCUGAAAGCGUGCUUAUAGUUAUCAAAGUCGAUGGUCAAUAGGUUAGAAUGGGUUAAAUUCGUUAAGGAUGUUGACGUAAUGGCUUU
rnacentral:rRNA from 1 species